rnacentral:rRNA from 1 species
UACGUAGGGCGCAAGCGUUGUCCGGAAUUAUUGGGCGUAAAGAGCUCGUAGGCGGUUUGUCGCGUCUGCUGUGAAAACUCGAGGCUCAACCUCGGGCUUGCAGUGGGUACGGGCAGACUAGAGUGCGGUAGGGGUGACUGGAAUUCCUGGUGUAGCGGUGGAAUGCGCAGAUAUCAUGAGGAACACCGAUGGCGAAGGCAGGUCACUGGGCCGCAACUGACGCUGAGGAGCGAAAGCAUGGGGAGCGAACAGG